rnacentral:rRNA from 1 species
GAUGAAUGCUGGCGGCGUGCCUAACACAUGCAAGUCGAGCGGCAGCGAGUUUUACACUGAAUUCUGGAAGCUUCUGAGUAGUACAGAAGAUUUAUUCAAGAGUUUUGUGUAAAAUGUCGGCGAGCGGCGGACGGCUGAGUAACGCGUAGGAAUUUGCCCCCAAGUGAGGAAUAACUGCCCGAAAGGGUAGCUAAUGCCGCAUAUGGUCUUCGGAUUAAAGCCUUCGGGCGCUUUGGGAGAAGCCUGCGUUGGAUUAGGUAGUUGGUAGGGUAAUGGCCUACCAAGCCGACGAUCCAUAGCUGGGCUGAGAGGAUGAUCCGCCAGUCUGGAACUGAGACACGGCCCAGACUCCUACGGGAGGCAGCAGUGAGUAAUCUUGCACAAUGGGGGAAAGCCUGAAAGAGCAACGCCGCGUGAAGGGUGAAGGCCUUCGGGUUGUAAACUUCUUUUAUGAGUUAAGAAUAUGACGGUAACUCAUGAAUAAGCCCCGGCUAACUACGUG